UACAUGUGGGGCAAGCGUUGUCCGGAAUUAUUGGGCGUAAAGAGCUCGUAGGCGGUCUGUCGCGUCGGCUGUGAAAACCCGAGGCUCAACCUCGGGCCUGCAGUCGAUACGGGCAAACUAGAGUACUGCAGGGGAGACUGGAAUUCCUGGUGUAGCGGUGAAAUGCGCAGAUAUCAGGAGGAACACCGGUGGCGAAGGCGGGUCUCUGGGCAGUAACUGACGCUGAGGAGCGAAAGCGUGGGGAGCGAACAGG
rnacentral:rRNA from 1 species